AAUAUGGCAGAUUAGUGCAUUGGA
rnacentral:tRNA from 12 species